rnacentral:rRNA from 1 species
AUUGAACGCUGGCGGCAGGCCUAACACAUGCCAGUCGAGCGGAUGAAGGGAGCUUGCUCCUGGAUUCAGCGGCGGACGGGUGAGUAAUGCCUAGGAAUCUGCCUGGUAGUGGGGGAUAACGUCCGGAAACGGGCGCUAAUACCGCAUACGUCCUGAGGGAGAAAGUGGGGGAUCUUCGGACCUCACGCUAUCAGAUGAGCCUAGGUCGGAUUAGCUAGUUGGUGGGGUAAAGGCCUACCAAGGCGACGAUCCGUAACUGGUCUGAGAGGAUGAUCAGUCACACUGGAACUGAGACACGGUCCAGACUCCUACGGGAGGCAGCAGUGGGGAAUAUUGGACAAUGGGCGAAAGCCUGAUCCAGCCAUGCCGCGUGUGUGAAGAAGGUCUUCGGAUUGUAAAGCACUUUAAGUUGGGAGGAAGGGCAGUAAGUUAAUACCUUGCUGUUUUGACGAUACCAACAGAAUAAGCACCGGCUAACUUCGUG